ensembl:snoRNA U3 Small nucleolar RNA U3
UAGACUAUACUUUCAGGGAUCAUUUCUAUAGUGUGUUACUAGAGAAGUUUCUCUGAAUGUGUAGAGCACCAGGAAUGAUUGGGAGAUAAAAUGGAAAUAGUAAU